GGCCGGUUAGCUCAGUGGUUUGAGCGCGGUGCUGGCAACAAUGACAACAUCGAGGUUGCGGGUUCAAUUCCUGCUCGGUCC
rnacentral:tRNA from 1 species